rnacentral:rRNA from 1 species
CCCUACGGGGCGCACCAGGCGCGAAAACUUUACAAUGCGCGAAAGCGCGAUAAGGGGACCCCGAGUGCGAGGGCAUAACGUCCUCGCUUUUGUAUAUCGUAAGAAGAUACACGAAUAAGGGCUGGGCAAGACCGGUGCCAGCCGCCGCGGUAAUACCGGCAACUCGAGUGAUGAUCACUAUUAUUGGGCCUAAAGCGUCCGUAGCCGGUUGAACAAGUCCUUCGGCAAAUCCACUCGCUCAACGAGUGGGCUCUCGAGGGAAACUGUUCGACUUGGGGCCGGGAGAUCUGAGGGGUACGUCUAGGGUAGGAGUGAAAUCCUGUAAUCCUAGACGGACCGCCGAUGGCGAAAGCACCUCAGAAGAACGGACCCGACGGUCAGGGACGAAAGCUAGGGUCUCGAACCGGAUUAGAUACCCGGGUAGUCCUAGCCGUAAACGAUGCUCGCUAGGUGUUGCGAAAGCUACGUGCUUUUGCUGUGCCGUAGGGAAGCCGUGAAGCGAGCCGCCUGGGAAGUACGUCCGCAAGGAUGAAACUUAAAGGAAUUGGCGGGGGAGCACUACAACCGGAGGAGCCUGCGGUUUAAUUGGACUCAACGCCGGAAAUCUCACCAGUACCGACAAUUGCAAUGACAGUCAAGUUAAUGACUUUACUCGAGUUCUUGAGAAGAGGUGCAUGGCCA